AGUUAAAAACUUAAGAAAAGUGUUAUGUCUUGAAACCAUAAUAAAGAAGUUUAAAUCUUCUGUUAACUU
rnacentral:tRNA from 1 species